GCAGUGGUGGUUCAGUGGUAGAAUUCUCACCUUCCAUGUGGGAGACCCGUUUCGAUUCCCAGCUAAUGCA
rnacentral:tRNA from 1 species